rnacentral:ncRNA from 2 species
UUCUUUGAACAGAUUUAUGGUGUCCCGAUCCUGACGUAACUCGGGAUAACGGGAAAUAUAGGGAAGUCCGGUGAGAGGAAAAGUCGUUGCGAGUCAUACUGAGCCCGCCAGUUGGCAGGUAAACUUGUCGAAGUAUAGCGAAGCAAUCUAAGUUAAGCUUGCUUCACUUCGUUAGCAAUGACAAUCGUAUAAUCAAUUCCGGCGCUGUCGCGCAACUGUAGUCCCCGCCUUUGGCGGAAAGCCAGGAGACCUGCCAUAAGUCACUUAAUCAA